rnacentral:sRNA from 1 species
ACGUCGUUACUUCUGAUAAAUAUAUCUACAAGCUGGAAAGAAUCCUGUAUUACGCUCGCCUUACAAACUAAAAACAAACUGUUUCUACAACAAGAAGCUUGUGUUAUGAUUAAUGAUGUACAUUGGCACACUUAUCUGGGGGAUGCUCAUAAGUCAUUACAAUUCAGCCGCGACAAAAAAGAAUCUUUUCUUUCACCCCAUGGACGUUGUAAAAUGGAUAUGAUCUCCUAUUUGAUAUCUUUAACAGCUUACAGCUUUCUGUUGGUCUCAACACUACACCAGACAACGUUUCACUGGCUGGAGGCUGUGGUCAUGGUCUAU